rnacentral:rRNA from 1 species
GUGGAUUAGAUACCCGAGUAGUCCACGCUGUAAACGAUGAAUACUAGGUGUGGGAGGACUGACCCCUUCCGUGCCGCAGUUAACACAAUAAGUAUUCCACCUGGGGAGUACGACCGCAAGGUUGAAACUCAAAGGAAUUGACGGGGGCCCGCACAAGCAGUGGAUUAUGUGGUUUAAUUCGACGCAACGCGAAGAACCUUACCAGGAUUUGACAUCCUACUAACGAAGCAGAGAUGCAUUAGGUGCCCUUCGGGGAAAGUAGAGACAGGUGGUGCACGGUCGUCGACAGCU